ensembl:lincRNA
CCUGGGUGGUUUUCUGCCUUCACAUUCAGGGAUACUUCCAGCUACCCGGACUUCCAGUUACCAGGACAAAUGUUUUAUGUGCUGUUUAGAAUGAAAAGAUGAGAGGCAAACCUUGGUCAGCUAGCUAAGAUCAUGGGAAGACUGACAGCCAACUAGCCAUUUUUGUCAGGUUUAAAUUUAAAUGAUGAGGAAGCCAGUUGGUGAAGGUAAAAAAACAAACAAACAAACAAACAAACAAAAAAACCAAAAAAACCCAAAAACCAAACAAACAGAAAACCAACUGAAAUGUGGAGAGAGAUCAGAUGAGAAGUGGGGGAAGGGAGGAAAGGAGAGAGGGAGGGAGAGGAGAGGCAGAUACAUUGCCUGGGGUCCUGAUGGUCUCUGAGCCAAGUCUUGCUUGUUCAUCUUUAACACAAAUCUGAUUUUCCUUGUAGUCAACUGAACGGGGCUCAAUCAGUACCACCAAUAAGCAGUUAUCCUUAUCAAUGCUAUCUGUCAAUGUGGCUGGCAAUGGUUAAAUUUGGCAGGUGGUCCAAAUCCAACAUGCAGUCAAGUCAUGAAACUGGUUUUAAGUCAUAAUGAAAUUUAGAGUUGCUGCUUUGGGGGUCAGUCUUGGGCUCCAAAUGCUGGUUCCAUUGCAAAACCAAGGCAUUUCUGCGUGAGUGUAUUGUUUUUUCUCAUCUUGAGGUGAGAUAUCCUUAAAACUCUGGUACCUUCUGGCUUACUAGUUGGCUUUCCCUAAAGCACACCAACUAUGAUGAAGCCUACCUGGGUCCUGGGUGGCUGGACUGAAAAAAGGGGGGAGUUGUGAAACGAGGCAAGGGUAUGAGCAAGUCUCUGAUGACUAAGACAGAGCCCAUGUGGGAGGUGAUUCAGAGAUAAUGUACCUCCUGUUACAGCUUGAGUUGUUUGCAACCCCCCCCCCCACGCUUUUCAGCAAACAUUAUUUUGAAUGUCAGAGUGCAUACAGUUGUUCUCUGGGGUUGGGCUAAAUUUGACUCUGUGGGAGAAUCAACCUAGACUUCCAAAUGUGGUCAUCUCAGCACUGUGUGGUGCAAGACCAGUUUUCCACUCCUGCCCAGAGUAUUUGUGUGGAUCUCACCCAGAAAUGAGAGAUGCUAGAUGCCAUUCUAAGGCAACCCAAAAUGUUAAUUUAAGAAGGAUCUUGAGACAAUGGCAGACGACAAGGGGAGAUCUAAGCCAGGAUGACCAAAGAGAAGGACAGAAGUCAGGAGGAUCCCCCAGUCCUCCUCAGGGGCACAGUGGAAGAUGAUGUUCUUAAUGCAAAGCCUGUUGGUCACAUGAAGUCUCUCUUGGAAUGAUCCUCUGGGUGAAGCCUCUGUAUGUGAUUCUGGCCACUCUUUCAGUUUGAAGAGAACUCAUCAUGUAUUUACCAGGCAAGUGUUAUGUCAGGUAUCAUGUGACUAUGGAGACAGAAGGUGGUGAAAGUCUCUGUUCUUGUACAUUUUUUUUUUUCCUAAAGGGAAAAAGCUUGAACAUAAAUCUUGACCUUAUUGGUUUCUAGCAUGUUAUAUUAGUCUACUGAAAACAACAACAACAGCGAUAACAAUGGCAACCUAAAACCUAUAACAAAAUGCUUGAGGCAGACUAAAUCUAUAAAGACAAUAGGUUUAUUUAGCUAAAAGUUCUGAAAGUGGAAGAUCCAGGGGCCAGCUCUGGAAGUGGUCCUCAUUGUUGGCAGAGUCCUCAGGUGGUGAGAAAUACGGAGCAUCUGUGAUUGGUUUCUGUCUGUUUCUGUCAUUUUAUAAAGCAAGCAGGAUUUAAUCAUGGGGGCUGAACUCUAGUGACCUUGAUUAAACAUAAUCCCUUUCAAAGGCCUGGCUUCUAAACACCGGGCUGGGUUAAGUAACCACUCUGUUAAUACCAAGAACAUGUGACUUAGGGAUUAAACUCUUGCAGAACAAUGAUUGCAACUAGAGAUUGUUAUGUUAAGCAAAAUAGGCUUCACUCAGAAUGACAAAUAUCACAUUUUCUUUCAUAUAUUUAUUCUAGAAGUGUGUGUGUGUGUGUGUGUGUGUGUGUGUGUGUGUGUGUGUUGAAACUAGAAAGGGGACCUUGAGAGAAAGGAAGACAGGUUAAGGGAGGGGUGAGUGAGAGAAAAGCAGGAGUAUAAUGGAAUACACGUGACAUGAAAGCAGGGAAGAGACUACCUGUGGAGAGACAGGAGACCAGUGAGAGUUGGGUGAGGAGACUACCUGUGGAGAGUAGUGGUAUAGCACAAAUUCUAAUUGUUCUUAAUGAUAAAAACCCAGAACAGAUACUGGGGUUAAAAAUGAAGAUCAGAGAAGCAAAGUGGCCAGCCACUAAAGAGUUCUCAUCUCUACCAAUGAUCAGACUGAAGGGGUGAUCCACUGACCCUCAGACUGCCCUGUUCCUCAGACUACUCCCAACUGCACUGCUCCUCAUACUGACUCAGACUGCCCUGCUCUCCACCAAAUUUCCAAUUCCCUCAGCUCCUGUCUUCUCCUGCUCUAAUUCCUCUCUAGUGCUGAGAUUAAAGGCAAGUCACUCUAACUGCUGAGGUCACCUUUGUGUGAGUUCUGUUUCUUUUUUUAGACUGAAUCAGUUUCAUGUAGCUCAGGUUAGCUUGAACUAACAGAGAUCUGUCUGCCUCUGUCUCCUGAGUCCUGGGACUAAAGGUGUGUACCACCACUGCCUGGCCUCUAUGGCAAACUAGUGUGGCUGCUGGGAGUAAAGAUGUGUGCCACCACUAUCUGGCCUCUAUGGAAGACUAGUGUGCUAGCUUUGCACUCUGAUCUUCAGGCAAGCUUUUUUUGUUAUAUCAUGAACAAAACAUCACCACAUAGUAGAAGAGGGAAAUGCCAAGCAAAAUGGUACAUAUGUAGAAAAAUCCCAUAAUGAAACCUAUUACUUUGUGUGAUAAUAUUUUUUUAAAUUUUAUUCUGUGUGUGUGUUUUGCUUGUAUGUAUGUCUGUACAUCAUCACAUGUGUGCACUGGAUCUUGAGUCAUAGAUGACGUGGGCCACCAUGUGGAUGCUUGGAACCAAUCUUGAGUCCUCUGGAAAAGUAACAAGUGCUCUUAAC